rnacentral:rRNA from 1 species
AUUGAACGCUGGCGGCAGGCCUAACACAUGCAAGUCGAGCGGAUGAAGGGAGCUUGCUCCUGGAUUCAGCGGCGGACGGGUGAGUAAUGCCUAGGAAUCUGCCUGGUAGUGGGGGAUAACGUCCGGAAACGGGCGCUAAUACCGCAUACGUCCUGAGGGAGAAAGUGGGGGAUCUUCGGACCUCACGCUAUCAGAUGAGCCUAGGUCGGAUUAGCUAGUUGGUGGGGUAAAGGCCUACCAAGGCGACGAUCCGUAACUGGUCUGAGAGGAUGAUCAGUCACACUGGAACUGAGACACGGUCCAGACUCCUACGGGAGGCAGCAGUGGGGAAUAUUGGACAAUGGGCGAAAGCCUGAUCCAGCCAUGCCGCGUGUGUGAAGAAGGUCUUCGGAUUGUAAAGCGCUUUAAGUUGGGAGGAAGGGCAGUAAGUUAAUACCUUGCCGUUUUGACGUUACCAACAGAAUAAGCACCGGCUAACUUCGUG